UAACUUCCUCAAUCCCACUUCCCUUGGCCAGAGAAGAGGUCUGGAGACAGUGCGGCCCUGACCUGCAGCACAGCUUGCCCUUGUCUUGAGGAGGAGGAGGAGGCGAAGUCCUGGCCCUAGAACUAGAGCUCACCUAGAGCAAGGCUUACCUCACAGAACAUCUGGCACAGAGCCCAUCUGGAGAGAAACACUGAAAAGGAGACCCUGCAGAACUGUAGAAACCCAGCACAUAGCAGCGCAUUCAGAGUGUCUCGGAAAGAAAAUACAGACUGGCAUCCUCGGAAGGUUGGAAUGUGGACAUGGGGAAUCCACAGUUGGAGACUAAGAAGUCGACAAUGGCAUAGGUCCACAGUGCUGUGGAGCUUCCACACUGGACCAGACCCUCUUCUGAGCAAUGAACGCAGAUCUCUGGAAACCAUGCAUUCAUCUGAAGGUUGCUGAUUAUUUCUCUAACAUGAGGUAGCAUUAUUAAGUUGUCACUGUCACAGGUCUAAGUUUCCCAGGCAAGAUGCAGGAUGCCUAAUUAAAGAUUUUGAAUUGAUUCAGGGCAUCCAGGCAGCCACAGCAGUACAACCAAAGACAGGCAGCAAAGAGGACUUCAGAGCUGCUUCAGAAAGUGGCAAGAAGGGUGAGAGGAGAGGGACGGUAUUUUGAGGGGGAUUCAUUGCAAUGUGUCUUUUGCAGUUAAAUCAUUCUUAAUGGCAUCGUUCUCUGUACUGUUUGACCACACCACCCACACGCACAAGCACAGUCUCCGCUGUCAUCACCCUGGUCGGAUGCAUCAGUCCCAGCCAUUCUCUGCCAUGUGCCUUGGACUUCCGCUUUCUGCAGCAGCUCUGGAAGGGCUCUUUCCUGAGGGUCUUUACUGCACUGUCACUGCUGCCCCAUGCCCUGAACCAGCUCAGACCUUUCCCUUUCAUCGUCAUUCUGACUUUGAGAAAAGGCCGGAAGUCUCACAGUGCCAGAUGCAGGAAAUCAGAUGGGCAAAGGCUCAGCGCUGAGCUUUUGCAGGCUGUCUUUCUUCGGAUGUCACUCAGCCUAUCAGCAGCUGUUUCUGCUCACACCUCACAGACACUCAGGAUGAGGGCUCUCAGAACUGUUUCGGAAAGUGGCCGGAAUGAUGAGAUGAGUGUGUUUGAAGACAAGGAGUCUUCUGAGAGGGAUAAAUGGUAAUGCC